UAUACAUACAUCACGUUUGGAUUCUGUCUCUAAGGACAAAAACAUGAAAAGCAAGAGACAGAUGGAAAAUUGUGUCUCUGUAUUUCUAUCUCCUGAGAUAGUAUCCAAACUUAGGCCCGGCGCUUGAAACAUUGUGUCAACUUAUUUUCUCCCCAUCCACCAUUCGAUGGGAUAUGGAUCUGAUCCAAGAAGGGUUAUAUCCCAUUUAAUGCUGCAUUUUGGGUAAAUUGACAUAGUUUCCCAAACAUAUACAAUUUCCAUAAGUAAUAGAACAAGCAUGAGGGAAGAAACCAAAAUUCUAAAAGGAAAGGUUGUAUGAAUUACUACUGCUGAAACUUGAAGCAAUAACAGAAAGAUAAAACUUUAUGGCCAUCUUGCAAUGCCUGAAAUAAAUGUUUUGGGAAUAAAGUAAAACUAAGAAAAUAAGUAAA